AUUUAAAAUUGAUUUAAUUUUUUUAGUUAAAUUUAAAAUUUAAAUAAAGAUAUAGAAAUUAAAAUUUUUUAGUAUUAAUUGGAAAAAAAAAUUAUUAUUUUUUAAUUGUAAGAGUAUUUUGAAAUUAAAAAAAGAAAAUUUCAUUUAUUGUACCUUUUGUAUCAGGGUUUAUUAAAAUUAAAUAUUAAAAUUAAUAUAUCUCGAAUUAAAAAGAGCUAAUUUAAUAUUAUAGUUAAUGUAAAAUAAUUAUUAUAAAUUUUAAAUUAGAAGUGAAAUGUUAAACGAUUUUUAAGAUAUCUAGUUUUUUAAUAUAAAAAUUUAAUUUUUUUAUAAAUUUAAUUAUUAAUAAUUUAAGAUUUUUAAUUGUUUUAUAAAGAAGAAUUUAUGGGUUUAUCUAUAAAUUUAAAUUAAAUGAUAAAUUUAAAGUUUAAAAUUUAGAAAUUAAAAUUUUUAAAAUUUAAAAGUUUUUAAUAAUUUAUUAUUUAAGGGUAAUUUGAUUUUUAAAGUUAUUAAUUUAUUAUUAAAAUAAAUUUGUAAAUUUUUUAUAAAUUAAAAUAAUGAUAAUAUUAGUAUAAAUAAAUUGUUAAAUUAAUUGAAUUAUUAAAUUAAUUUAAGGAAUUAAGCAAAUUUUAAAAUUCACUUGUUUAUCAAAAACAUGUUUUUUUGAAAUUAAUAAAAAAUUUUCUCUGCCCAAUGAUAAAUUAAAUGGCCGCGGUAUUUUGACUGUGCAAAGGUAGCAUAAUAAAUAGUUUUUUAAUUGAAGACUAGAAUGAAUGAGAGGAUGAAAUUUUAACUGUCUCAAUUUAAUUAUAAAAUUUUAUUUUAAGUUAAAAUUCUUAAAUAAAUUUAAGGGACGAGAAGACCCUAUAGAAUUUAAAAAUUAAAUUUAAUUUUAGAGUUAAUAUUGAAUUGAAAUUAUUUAAAAAUUUUUUUAUUGGGAUGAUAUUUAAAUUUAAAUAACUUAAAAUUAUUAAAUUCAAUGAUUAAUGAAUUUAAGAAUAAAUUUAAUAAAUAAAAGAUAAAAUUACCUUAGGGAUAACAGCGUAAUAAAUUUUUAAAGUUCAAAUUAAAAAAUUUGAUUGCGACCUCGAUGUUGAAUUAAAAUAAAAUUUAAGUGGAGAAGC
rnacentral:rRNA from 1 species